GGUGGGUGCUGGGACUGGCUCGAUACAUAGUAUCUGUUUAGGCAGGUCCACCUGUCUAUCUUCAGUAUUGAUAGCCUAAAAGCAGGCCUGUUGUCUCAUUCUUUAAUGCUGACAUUCUCAGGAGAGGGCUGAGGGUCAGUCAAGAUCCUUUUUUCCAAGUCCCUUAAGGUAUAGAUGCUAUCCUGUCUCAAAACCAAACCCUCUAAUCAAUCCAGGCCUUGGAAACCUAGGAACACUGAAUUAUGUUCAAGUUUUCUAACCUGGAGCUUUCUACAAUUUCUUCCCCUCCCUCCUUUCAUUCUUUCCAUGUAUUCUGUGUAAUAGCCCUGGCCUGGAACUUACUCUAUACACCAGGCUCACAGAUAUCUUCCUACCUCUGCCUCCCACGUACUGGGAUUAAAAUCGUGGUCCACCACACCCAGCUUUCUCUAACUUCCUAAUCUGUAAAAUAAGCACCAGAGAUUGACGUGUAAAUCUUCUAUCUAUUCCUCAAGGAAAACUUCAUAUGGUCCAGGACUUCAUUAACUUUCGUCAGCAUUAUCAGUUGUUCCCAAAGAGUCACCAGAGAAGAAACAUCAGUGUCUGCUAAGAACUUAAAAAAUUUUUUUUAUUUGUGUUUAUAUAUUUCUUACCUUUAUAUACACUUUAGGGACUAAACUCAGGCCACCAGGCACACGGAGCACAUGCUUUAGCUGUCCCUCCAGCCCUUCCCUCCAAGAAU
rnacentral:lncRNA from 1 species